ensembl:lincRNA Gm29291 predicted gene 29291
GAAAAUUGACGGGAGCACGCCAGAGGAACUCAGGAUGAAGUGAAGAGCCUGCAGUGGGGAGAUCUAGAAGCAUCGGAGCCAUAAAGAGGAUGAAAUGACAGCCGACCUCUCACGGAGUGCUGAUGACUGAAAGGAAGUGAGUUAAGACUGCCCUCUGUUUGCCACGCCCACGCCACUGGGACCAGGAACUGUGCAAGUUCUGUGUAAGUUGUACAUCUGAAGGAGACAUUUCACUUCUGGGUGCCACCGUUGCAGGUUGACAGGUACACUGGAUAAUAAUGAGGUGGAGCACUCAGAACUGAGCCACACUGUGACACAGAAGUCGUUAAUGAAGUGAAGAUGUUUAGCCAGGACUGCUGCAGAGACUCCAGAAAUAAGAGUUAUCUUCAAAGACUUGACAGCGGUCACUAGAGAAUAAAAUUAAACUUUUUACAAGAUGACAGAACUAUCUUCUUAAAGAACACGGAAACAAACUGAGUUACAUUCAGGCCUCUUGACACUAAAACCUUCUGAAACAUCAGAAGCGUCAAAAUGUUCCCCUGUGGAACUGUAAGUAUAGCUUCAUUUGGUCUCAGGUUGAGCCAUUACCUUUAAGGAGGUUCUAUUUAUUACUGCCAACUUCAGUCAUCUCUUUAAGAAACU